rnacentral:rRNA from 1 species
UAGGGAAUAUUGCAAAAUGGGCGAAAGCCCGAUGCAGCAACGCCGCGUGGGCGAUGAAGGCCUUCGGGUCGUAAAGCCCUUUUUGAGGGGAUGAGGAAGGACAGUACCCUCAGAAUAAGCCUCGGCUAACUACGUGCCAGCAGCCGCGGUAAAACGUAGGAGGCGAGCGUUAUCCGGAUUCACUGGGCGUAAAGCGCGUGCAGGCGGAUUGGAGAGUUGGAUGUGAAAGCUCCCGGCUUAACUGGGAGAGGUCGUUCAAUACUCCCAGUCUUGACUGCAGUAGAGGGAAGUGGAAGUCCUGGUGUAGUGGGGAAAUGCGUAGAUAGCCGGAGGAACACCAGUGGCGAAAGCGGCUUCCUGGACUGUAACUGACGCUCAGACGCGAAAGCUAGGG